CCUACGGGUGGCAGCAGUGGGGGAUAUUGCACAAUGGGGGAAACCCUGAUGCAGCGACGCCGCGUGAGUGAAGAAGUCUUUAGGUAUGUAAAGCUCUAUCAGCAGGGAAGAAACAAGACGGUACCUGACUAAGAUGCCCCGGCUAACUACGUGCCAGCAGCCGCGGUAAUACGUAGGGGGCAAGCGUUAUCCGGAUUUACUGGGGGUAAAGGGAGCGUAGACGGCAAUACAAGUCUGAAGUGAAAUACCCGGGCUCAACCUGGGCACUGCUGUGGAACCUGUAUGGCUAGAGUGCUGGGGAGGGAGGCGGAAUUCCUAGUGUAGCGGUGAAAUGCGUAGAUAUUAGGAAGAACACCAGUGGCGAAGGCGGCUUACUGGACAGUAACUGACGUUGAUGCUCGAAAGCGUGGGGAGCAAACAGGAUUAGAUACCCGGGUAGGC
rnacentral:rRNA from 1 species